UAACAUUCAAUGUUGAAGCAUUUUAGCAAUUCAAACCCUCCCAUUUCAUAUCCCUCAUUCCUAGGUAAUCCCUAAUCAAUUUCCUCUCUUUAUAAAUAUGUUUAUUCAGGGGGCUUUUCAAAUAAUUGUUAUAUAACAUUUGGAUUUUAGUGACUGAUUUCAACACUUUCAAAUAAUUGUCAUGAAUUUUGGUGAUUAAUUUCAAUACUUAUAAUGGUGUCUUCAAGGUAGAUCAAUCCAUGUUCCAACAUGUGUCAGAACUUCAUUCCUUUUCCUGUUGUGACAGGGCAUGAGCUAUGUAUGGCACUGAGCUGAGGCAACCAUGGAAGUCCUGAUUUUUGUGAUUAUGCCAGAAAGAUUUUAUACAUGUCUCUUAGAGUAGCAGACAUAAGUUUAUGAAAGUGACAGGAAAAGUGAAAUGAGGACACUCUCAAGGGAAUGACUCAUCCUCUCAGGAGAAGGACAUCAUGCUCUUCCUGCUCUUCAGUUUUUUCAAGUUUCCAAGGGAAUUUUUCCAAAGGGCCUUCCCAGGUCAGCCUUUGACUUUUGAAGUACAACUGGAUGACAUCAGACUUUAAACUUUCUACUCUGCAUGGUAAAUUCCAGGGCAAUUUUAGGUCACAUUGAACCAUGUUGACCUGUUCUAAUUGCAGCCUUUUCAUAAAUAGAUAUUAAGGUUUUAGGUAAUUAUCC
rnacentral:lncRNA from 1 species